UCUUUACCCAAGACCUAGAUGUGGCU
rnacentral:piRNA from 1 species